rnacentral:rRNA from 1 species
GUAGGGAAUAUUGGGCAAUGGAAGGAAUUCUGACCCAGCCAUGCCGCGUGCAGGAAUACAGUCCUAUGGACUUUAAACUGCUUUUAUUAUAGAGUAACCUGGGGGACGUGUCCCCCACUGCAAGUAUAUAAUGAAUAAGCAUCGGCUAACUCCGUGCCAGCAGCCGCGGUAAUACGGGGGAUGCAAGCGUUAUCCGGAUUUAUUGGGUUUAAAGGGUGCGCAGGCUGAUCGGUAAGUCAUGGGUGGAAAGUCACUGCUUAACAGUGAUCGUGCCUAUGAUACUGCCGGACUAGAGUUUAAGAGGUGUAACUGGAAUGUGAUGUGUAGCGGUGAAAUGCUUAGAUAUGUCACAGAACGCCAAUCGUGAAGACAGGUUACAAACUUAAUACUGACGCUCAUGCACGAAAGCGUGGGGAUCAAACAGGAUUAGAAACCCUAGUAGUCC